rnacentral:rRNA from 1 species
GGGGCAACCCUGGUGGCGAGUGGCGAACGGGUGAGUAAUACAUCGGAACGUGCCCGGUAGUGGGGGAUAGCCCGGCGAAAGCCGGAUUAAUACCGCAUACGACCUACGGGUGAAAGCGGGGGACCGCAAGGCCUCGCGCUAUCGGAGCGGCCGAUGUCGGAUUAGCUUGUUGGUAGGGUAAAGGCCUACCAAGGCGACGAUCCGUAGCUGGUCUGAGAGGACGACCAGCCACACUGGGACUGAGACACGGCCCAGACUCCUACGGGAGGCAGCAGUGGGGAAUUUUGGACAAUGGGCGCAAGCCUGAUCCAGCCAUGCCGCGUGCGGGAAGAAGGCCCUCGGGUUGUAAACCGCUUUUGUCAGGGAAGAAACGCUUCGGGCUAAUACCUCGGAGUAAUGACGGUACCUGAAGAAUAAGCACCGGCUAACUACGUGCCAGCAGCCGCGGUAAUACGUAGGGUGCAAGCGUUAAUCGGAAUUACUGGGCGUAAAGCGUGCGCAGGCGGUUGUGCAAGACAGAUGUGAAAUCCCCGGGCUUAACCUGGGAACUGCAUUUGUGACUGUGCGACUGGAGUGCGGCAGAGGGGGAUAGAAUUCCGCGUGUAGCAGUGAAAUGCGUA